rnacentral:rRNA from 1 species
UUCGCAAUGCCCGAAAGGGUGACGAAGCGACGCCGCGUGUGGGAAGAAGGCCUUCGGGUUGUAAACCACUGUCGGGAGUUAAGAAAUACAAGGAUAUGAAUAGUGUCUUUGUUUGACUAAGGCUUCGGAGGAAGCCACGGCUAACUCUGUGCCAGCAGCCGCGGUAAUACAGAGGCGGCAAGCGUUGUUCGGAAUUAUUGGGCGUAAGGAGCACGUAGGCGGCUAUGUAAGUCGGUUGUGAAAGCCUUCCGCUCAACGGAAGAACAGCAUCCGAUACUACAUGGCUUGAGUGCGGGAGGGGAGAGUGGAACUUCUGGUGGAGCGGUGAAAUGCGUAGAUAUCAGAAGGAACGCCGGCGGCGAAAGCGGCUCUCUGGCCCAUAACUGACGCUGAGUGUGCGAAAGCUAGGGGAGCAAACGGGAUUAGAUACCCCGGUAGUCCUAGCCGUAAACGAUGGGCACUAAGUAGAGGGGUUUU